rnacentral:rRNA from 1 species
GAUGAACGCUGGCGGCGUGCCUAAUACAUGCAAGUCGAGCGAACGGACGAGAAGCUUGCUUCUCUGAUGUUAGCGGCGGACGGGUGAGUAACACGUGGAUAACCUACCUAUAAGACUGGGAUAACUUCGGGAAACCGUAGCUAAUACCGGAUAAUAUUUUGAACCGCAUGGUUCAAAAGUGAAAGACGGUCUUGCUGUCACUUAUCGAUGGAUCCGCGCUGCAUUAGCUAGUUGGUAAGGUAACGGCUUACCAAGGCAACGAUGCAUAGCCGACCUGAGAGGGUGAUCGGCCACACUGGAACUGAGACACGGUCCAGACUCCUACGGGAGGCAGCAGUAGGGAAUCUUCCGCAAUGGGCGGAAGCCUGACGGAGCAACGCCGCGUGAGUGAUGAAGGUCUUCGGAUCGUAAAACUCUGUUAUUAGGGAAGAACAUAUGUGUAAGUAACUGUGCACAUCGUGACGGUACCUAAUCAGAAAGCCACGGCUAACUACGUG